rnacentral:ribozyme from 17 species
ACGCAUUCACAAAAUCGAAACAAAGAGGUGAAAAAGAAAAGAAUAAAGUUCAUUGGAAUGCAUGUUCGUGUUCGCUCACAGAAUGAAAAAGUUUCGUGCAUCCCUAUUUGAUGUCAUACUUUUUACGCACCUUU